ensembl:snoRNA Gm23595 predicted gene, 23595
GCUGCCUCUAGAAGCUUGCAGCUGUGGCUGCUGUGUUCCGUGUGAGUCAGUAGGUGGCAGAGAGGAGAGAGGUUACUCUAAGCUCAGUGUUCUGACCUAGGAACAUCUGAAUGAUUAGUAGCCUCACACU